rnacentral:rRNA from 1 species
GGAGUUAGCCGGUGCUUCUUCUGCGAGUAACGUCACAGAUGUAAGGUAUUAACUUACACCCUUUCCUCCUCGCUGAAAGUGCUUUACAACCCGAAGGCCUUCUUCACACACGCGGCAUGGCUGCAUCAGGGUUUCCCCCAUUGUGCAAUAUUCCCCACUGCUGCCUCCCGUAGGAGUCUGGGCCGUGUCUCAGUCCCAGUGUGGCUGAUCAUCCUCUCAGACCAGCUAGGGAUCGUCGACUAGGUGAGCCUUUACCUCACCUACUAGCUAAUCCCACCUGGGCUUAUCCAUCAGCGCAAGGCCCGAAGGUCCCCUGCUUUCCCCCGUAGGGCGUAUGCGGUAUUAGCAGUCGUUUCCAACUGUUAUCCCCACAAAUGGGCAAAUUCCCAGGCAUUACUCACCCGUCCGCCGCUCGUCAUCUUCAAAAGCAAGCUUUUGAAAUGUUACCGCUCGACUUGCAUGUGUUAGGCCUGCCGCCAGCGUUCAAUCUGAGCCAGGAUCAAACUCUGA